rnacentral:miRNA from 1 species
UACGAACAAGUGGCUGUCGGUUG